UACAGAGGGUACGAGCGUUUGUUCGGAAUCACUGGGCGUAAAGCGCGCGCAGGCGGGCGAGUAAGUCAGAAGUGAAAUUCCGGGGGCUCAACCCCCGGAGCUGCUCCUGAUACUGCACGUCUGGAGACCGGUAGAGGCUGGUGGAAUUCCCGGUGUAGCGGUGGAAUGCGUAGAGAAUCGGGAAGAACACCCGUGGCGAAAGGCGGCCCAGCUGGGGCCGGGUUCUGACGCUGAGGCGCGAAAGCGUGGGGAGCAACAG
rnacentral:rRNA from 1 species